rnacentral:rRNA from 1 species
UGGGGAAUAUUGCACAAUGGGCGAAAGCCUGAUGCAGCGACGCCGCGUGAGGGAUGACGGCCUUCGGGUUGUAAACCUCUUUCAGCAGGGACGAAGCGCAAGUGACGGUACCUGCAGAAGAAGCACCGGCUAACUACGUGCCAGCAGCCGCGGUAAUACGUAGGGUGCAAGCGUUGUCCGGAAUUACUGGGCGUAAAGAGUUCGUAGGCGGUUUGUCGCGUCGUUUGUGAAAACCAGCAGCUCAACUGCUGGCUUGCAGGCGAUACGGGCAGACUUGAGUACUGCAGGGGAGACUGGAAUUCCUGGUGUAGCGGUGAAAUGCGCAGAUAUCAGGAGGAACACCGGUGGCGAAGGCGGGUCUCUGGGCAGUAACUGACGCUGAGGAACGAAAGCGUGGGUAGCGAACAGGAUUAGAUACCCUGGUAGUCCACGCCGUAAACGGUGGGCGCUAGGUGUGGUUCCUUCCACGGAAUCCGUGCCGUAGCUAACGCAUUAAGCGCCCCGCCUGGGGAGUACGGCCGCAAGGCUAAAACUCAAAGGAAUUGACGGGGUCAUAGCUGUUUCCU